CUGAAGGUGUGUGGCAUAGAAGGGCCCAAUGAAAAAAUACACGCACCUUUGACAUGGAUCUCACCUGAUCCAGAAACCCAUGCUCAUUUAUCGAAUUAAAUUGUUACAGAGCACAUCGGGAACUUAAGCCUUUCAAAUGAAUCCAUUUUCACGUACUCGAGUCAUAUAACAGAACAAAUUCCAGCUAAACCGCAUUGUUAAAGGAAAGGCUGGCGCCCGGUACUCAAAAGCUCAUUCGCACAGUCCGGGGUCCUGGCGGAGCGGUGCAAAAGUGAUACAGAGCAACGCUGUUGUUAGGUGGCAAGGCGGAAGAAAGGAAGCAAGUUCUAGAAACAGCACAAAACCCUUGUCUUUGCCAGUGCUUUGCAGAGGAUCGACAUAAAGCCGGCUUCACUUGAGGGUAAUGUCAGCACCCGUUUGUUCGACCCUAGAACAUUCCUCCAAAGGGUUUCACAUUUCAGCACCUGUUCUGACUCUGCAGCCAAAAGGGGGGAAGAAAACCCACAGCAUGUGAUAUCAAUUUCUCCAUGCAUGAGACACUUCUUUGCUUUGGGAAAUUGAGGAAGAAAAUGAAGAGGAUUUUUUGUUGUUGUUGUUGUUGUUUUGUGUUUGCAUGUAAAGAGCUUGUAAAGUCGGAUGAUUCAUAUACAUUUAAACAAAAAUAUGUAGCAUGAAUAUGUACACACUGAAUUAUCUCCAGAGAGGGAAUUCAGUUUGUUUCUUUGGGGAAAGCCAUUCGGAGGGUAGACAGACCAUAACAUCCACACAUGAAUCCAUGCCCACUGGACUUGAAGCUUGUGUUUUUACAUAUUUCGGUUUAUCGUGGUUGUGAAGCUCUCAGGAACGGAGAAUGCUGUAGAGAAGAACAAUAUCCCCGAAUUAAUGAUGCAAUGCCCGUCAUUCGCUAUGAGGCAGUUUGCAAGCCCUAGGAUAUGUCCUGUGCCACGGGCGUUAUUGUUUUCAAUGAAAUGUGUUCCACGUACAAGCACUUUCAUAUACAUAUGCUGUGUGGAAAGAGACACAUACUUACUUAUGCACAGGAUCUAAAUAGCACCACACAUACACACUUUUUUUUUGUUCAACUCUGUGU